AGCAAGAUUUUCUUAACACAUAGUGAACAAAAAGUCAAGGAAGAUGACCUCAGAAGACAAACAAAAGAACUGGAAAUGAAGAAGAAGCAAUUACAGAGUGAAAGAGAAAAAGUGGAGAGUCUGAUGAGGAAUCUCAACAAGAAGCAAGAAGAGCUUGAACGUGCAAAGGAAAUCAUGAGUGAAGAAAAAGAAGAGGUGAAACAGAUGAAGACUGACAUUGCCAAAGAACGAGAACUGUUGUUGAAGGAAAGGAGAAAUAUGGAAGAAGAGCGGUCUGAGAUGGAAAUGAGAGGAGACCAAGUCAUGGAUGAAAUGAAAUCACUAGAGAUUCUGAAAGUGAAACUUCAACAACUGAAGCAGCAUAUAAAAGCUAAAACGGACAGAUUACUACAAAAUGUUGACAACAGGUCCAUGCUGCAAACAGUGUUGGAAGAAAAACUUACAACUCAAGACAAACAGAAAGAAAACAUUUGCUGUUUCACUGAAAUGUUAGAUAGAGAAAAGGAAGGUGUGAGAAGUAUCCUUUCAGACAUGGUCACCAAGAGAGAAUGCACAGAAAAAGAAUGGAAGCAGCAGUUUGAACUGGACAAACGAGAUCUUGAUAAACGGAAAGAAGAUCUGAGACAAGACAGAGAAGAUCUGGAGAGAGAAAGUGAGGUGCUGAAUAAAGAGAAAAUGGAUUUGAAGCUGUUGAUGUCUGACAUGAAGAAACAAUUUGAAAUAUUGGAAGAAAAGAGACAAAAUGUAAAAGAAGAGAGAGACUCAAUGGAAAUCAUGAAGCUUGAACUGCUCAAUAAGAUGGAACAUGUAAAAAGGCUGUUAAAUGAGGCAAAUAAAGAAAAAGCCAAUAUUAAAGUUUGUAUCCUUCAGGUUCAAACGGAAAAAGAAAGACUUGAAGACAUUUUAAGCAAGAUUUUCUUAACACAUAGUGAACAAAAAGUCAAGGAAGAUGACCUCAGAAGACAAACAAAAGAACUGGAAAUGAAGAAGAAGCAAUUACAGAGUGAAAGAGAAAAAGUGGAGAGUCUGAUGAGGAAUCUCAACAAGAAGCAAGAAGAGCUUGAACGUGCAAAGGAAAUCAUGAGUGAAGAAAAAGAAGAGGUGAAACAGAUGAAGACUGACAUUGCCAAAGAACGAGAACUGUUGUUGAAGGAAAGGAGAAAUAUGGAAGAAGAGCGGUCUGAGAUGGAAAUGAGAGGAGACCAAGUCAUGGAUGAAAUGAAAUCACUAGAGAUUCUGAAAGUGAAACUUCAACAACUGAAGCAGCAUAUAAAAGCUAAAACGGACAGAUUACUACAAAAUGUUGACAACAGGUCCAUGCUGCAAACAGUGUUGGAAGAAAAACUUACAACUCAAGACAAACAGAAAGAAAACAUUUGCUAUUUCACUGAAAUGUUAGAGAGGAAAGGAAGGUGUGAGAAUAUCCUUUCAGACAUGAUCACCAAGAGAGAAUGCACAGAAAAAGAAUGGAAGCAGCAGUUUGAACUGGACAAACGAGAUCUUGAUAAACGGAAAGAAGAUCUGAGACAAGACAGAGAAGAUCUGGAGAGAGAAAGUGAGGUGCUGAAUAAAGAGAAAAUGGAUUUGAAGCUGUUGAUGUCUGACAUGAAGAAACAAUUUGAAAUAUUGGAAGAAAAGAGACAAAAUGUAAAAGAAGAGAGAGACUCAAUGGAAAUCAUAAAGCUUGAACUGCUCAAUAAGAUGGAACAUGUAAAAAGGCUGUUAAAUGAGGCAAAUGAAGAAAAGAGACAAAAUGUAAAAGAAGAGAGAGACUCAAUGGAAAUCAUGAAGCUUGAACUGCUCAAUAAGAUGGAACAUGUAAAAAGGCUGUUACAUGAGGCAAAUGAAGAAAAGAGACAAAAUGUAAAAGAAGAGAGAGACUCAAUGGAAAUCAUGAAGCUUGAACUGCUCAAUAAGAUGGAACAUGUAAAAAGGCUGUUAAAUGAGGCAAAUAAAGAAAAAGCCAAUAUUAAAGUUUGUAUCCUUCAGGUUCAAACGGAAAAAGAAAGACUUGAAGACAUUUUAAGCAAGAUUUUCUUAACACAUAGUGAACAAAAAGUCAAGGAAGAUGACCUCAGAAGACAAACAAAAGAACUGGAAAU
rnacentral:lncRNA from 1 species